rnacentral:rRNA from 1 species
GACAGAGGGGGCAAGCGUUGCUCGGAAUUACUGGGCGUAAAGGGCGCGUAGGCGGAAUGGCAAGUCGGUCGUGAAAUCCUUCGGCUCAACCGAAGAACGUCGAUCGAAACUGCCGUUCUUGAGGAUUGCAGAGGAGACUGGAAUUCCCGGUGUAGCGGUGAAAUGUGUAGAGAUCUGGAGGAACACCGGUGGCGAAGGCGGGUCUCUGGGCAGUAACUGACGCUGAGGAGCGAAAGCGUGGGGAGCGAACAGG